AAAUAUAAGGUGCCAUUCUAGGA
rnacentral:snRNA from 1 species